rnacentral:lncRNA from 1 species
AAUCUCUGUCUCUGCCCAGGCCGGAGUGCACUGGCAUGAUCAGGGCUCACUGUAUCUUUAGCCUCCUGGGUUCAAGGAAUCCUUCUGCCUCAUCUUCUCAGAUAGCUAGGUCUCCAGAUGUCUGCCACCAUGUCUGGCUAAUUUGUUCUCUAAUUUUAUUUUGUUUAGACGGCUGUCUUGCUGUGCUGCCCAGGCUGGUCUCAAACCUGGCUUCAAGUUAUUCUCCUGCCUCAGCCUCCCAAAGUGUUGGGAUUAUAGGCAUAACCCACCAUGCCCAGCCCUAGGCAUGAUUAUUAUAGAUAACUGUCUCUUGAUUAUGGA